rnacentral:rRNA from 1 species
AUACGUAGGGAGCGAGCGUUGUCCGGAAUGAUUGGGCGUAAAGGGCGCGUAGGCGGCCCGGUAAGUCUGGAGUGAAAGUCCUGCUUUUAAGGUGGGAAUUGCUUUGGAUACUGUCGGGCUUGAGUGCAGGAGAGGUAAGUGGAAUUCCCAGUGUAGCGGUGAAAUGCGUAGAGAUUGGGAGGAACACCAGUGGCGAAGGCGACUUACUGGACUGUAACUGACGCUGAGGCGCGAAAGUGUGGGGAGCAAACAGGAUUAGAUACCCUGGUAGUCCACACUGUAAACGAUGAAUGCUAGGUGUAGGGGGUAUCGACCCCUUCUGUACCGCAGUUAACACAAUGAGCAUUCCGCCUGGGGAGUAUGGCCGCAAGGUUGAAACUCAAAGGAAUUGACGGGG